UACAGAGGUCCCAAGCGUUGUUCGGAUUCACUGGGCGUAAAGGGUGCGUAGGCGGUCGGGUAAGUCUGAUGUGAAAUCUCCAAGCUCAACUUGAAAAUGGCAUCGGAUACUAUUCGGCUCGAGGAAUGGAGGGGAGACUGGAAUACUUGGUGUAGCAGUGAAAUGCGUAGAUAUCAAGUGGAACACCAGUGGCGAAGGCGAGUCUCUGGACAUUUCCUGACGCUGAGGCACGAAAGCCAGGGGAGCAAACGGG
rnacentral:rRNA from 1 species